UUGAACGCUGGCGGCAUGCUUUACACAUGCAAGUCGAACGCGGUUCGGGGGCAACCCCGGACUGAGUGGCGAACGGGUGAGUAAUGCAUCGGAACGUACCCCGUCGUGGGGGAUAACCAGUCGAAAGACUGGCUAAUACCGCAUACGACCUGAGGGUGAAAGCGGGGGACCGGAAGGCCUCGCGCGAUGGGAGCGGCCGAUGCCGGAUUAGCUAGUAGGUAGGGUAAAGGCCUACCUAGGCGACGAUCCGUAGCUGGUCUGAGAGGAUGAUCAGCCACACUGGGACUGAGACACGGCCCAGACUCCUACGGGAGGCAGCAGUGGGGAAUUUUGGACAAUGGGGGCAACCCUGAUCCAGCCAUGCCGCGUGAGUGAAGAAGGCCUUCGGGUUGUAAAGCUCUUUCGGCCGGAACGAAAUCGCACGGGCCAAUACCUUGUGUGGAUGACGGUACCGGAAGAAGAAGCACCGGCUAACUACGU
rnacentral:rRNA from 1 species